GAAGCGCCUCGUGCGCAUGUCGAAACGUCGCGGUGGCGGUGGCCGCGUCGCGUCCCUGAUCGAGAGUCUCGAGAGAUCGUGUCUCGCUUUACGGAAGUGCAAGUAAUGCUGUAUCUUGGUGUAUACGUCUGGGUAGCCCGGUCUGGCGCAACCGGAUCCGAAAGAUGUGACGCCGACUAGCUGCCAAACGCCAUCAGUACGACGACACUGCAGAGGUCCUCCGGAGUCACCCUGAAGAUUAUGAUUGAUAAAAAAUUCAGAUAAAGAGGAACAUCGUAACGCUUAUAGGGAUUUACCACGCAGCUUCCCGAGGAGCCGUCGAUCUGACCGGCGCAGAGGUGGCCCUUUCUGAUGGGUACCGAGGUGCCGUAGGCCUGCAGGCACUCCUCCAGGUUGAGAAGCGGCACGCUGGCCUCCAGAAGAGCGGUAGAGAGCGAAGGCGAGGGACCGUAUCGGCCCCAACCCGAGGUCACGCAGUGCCCACCGCUGAGAUCUUGCCCGGGUCCAGGCAGACAGAUGAUCACCGACAUUCCAGAGGACAAGGACUCACCUAUGUCGUGCACGUAAUUAUUGAAUCUCUCGUGAAGAAUCACUUUCUCGACGGGCAAGCGCGCGGAUCCGCGUCCUCCUGAGUCCAAUUCCCAUUCGCCGACCACCGCCGUCCAUAGCGCGCCGAUGGGUAAAUUGAACAGUUCGCUAAUAAAUAAAUAUCCACUUGAAAAUACGAAGCAUAAGGUAAAUACUCGAAUAAACAAGGUGCAAACUAAGAAUAUCCUCUUAAACAUGAAGAAGAUACUGGAAUAGUAUCCACUUAACGAUUUUAAGUUAAGAGCAUAUUGAAUUGAUGGAAGUUUGACGAGAGAAAAGGAGAUUUUGAAACAUUUGCUGAAGAGUUGUAAGAGUUUGAAGUUUUAGACAAUUCAAGGAGUUAUGGGACCCAGCGAGAAGUAGAGUAUUUUCAUGUAAAACUUUGUUUAAAGAGAUAAAAAUAUAAUAUGUUUGUGUUUU